UAUAUAAAGUAUAUUAUAAUACACCUAAAUAGAUUUUGAUUGUUGGAUUCCGUAUCAUGUGACAUUGAUUUUUAACACUAUCUCGUCACUCAUUAUAAAAAUGUAUAUCCAUUCGUGCAUUUUUUGUUUCAUACGCUUUCGUCCCAUUGCACGCCUUCACCUAAUACAAUGUUGUCAUUGGUUGAAAGAAGAUUGACUGUUCCAUUCUGAAGAAAGGUAGUUGAUUACCAAUUUGUUGAGUGGAAGAAUCCAUUUUCCUGUGAUCAAAACCAACCAACUGCGUAACUCUUUUCUUCCAGCGGCCAUGAGGCUACAUAAUGUAAACUUUGUCAGGU